GGUCUGUGAUGCCCUUAGAUGUCCUGGGCUGCACGCGCGCUACAAUGAAGGUAUCAACGUGUAUUUCCUAGGCCGAGAGGUCCGGGUAAACCGCUGAACCACCUUCUUGCUUGGGAUUGUGAACUGAAACUGUUCACAUGAACCUGGAAUUCCCAGUAAGUGCGAGUCAUUAACUCGCAUUGAUUACGUCCCUGCCCUUUGUACACAC
rnacentral:misc_RNA from 1 species